rnacentral:rRNA from 1 species
UACGGAGACUGCAAGCGUUAUUCGGAUUCAUUGGGCGUAAAGGGUGCGUAGGUGGCGCCAUAAGUCGGGUGUGAAAUCUCGGGGCUUAACUCCGAAACUGCAUUCGAUACUGUGGUGCUCGAGGACUGGAGAGGAGACUGGAAUUCAUGGUGUAGCAGUGAAAUGCGUAGAGAUCAUGAGGAAGACCAGUGGCGAAGGCGGGUCUCUGGACAGUUCCUGACGCUGAGGCACGAAGGUCAGGGGAGCAAACGGG